UUAUCUUGGGUUCCCUCAAAAACUAGAGUCUGAUACAAGGGUUUGGAUGCAAUUAGUUUGUUGUGAAAGUAAUUCCAGAGGACAGGAGUGUGAGGAUGGAGAAGAAUGGUAAAUAGAAGGAAAGAAAGCCAAGCCAAGCAUGCGUUUUUUGAGCUGGUCACCACUAUGGGCACCUGGAGCUUUGUCCUGUUGAGAGUUUUUAGAGAGCUGUGUAAAUUGUGCUUCAGAAUUGUCAGAAUUACGCAACAUGAAAGAGUUGAUGAUUGAGUCACUGGCUCUAUCCCUCAGUGAUAAAAGGUUGCUCCAGUGAGUGGCAACUCCUUCACUCUUCCCAGUCAGUGCCUGUGCCAAAAUAGCUGAAUGGGUGUCUGCAGGCAUCCUGGGUGGUGGCAGCGGCAGAGUAUUCCUACUGCGAAAGCAGGAGAUUCUCCGUGCACUUGAGGGAAGACCAUGACAGAACAUAGCUGGCUGCAGCAGCAAAGGCUGGAGCAAAAAGUCCUAGGUGCUAAGUACUUUAAAAAUCGGGAUGUGGGAUAAAUUGGCAUUAUGUGUCCUCUGAAAUGAUGCACUGAGAAAAAGACAACAUCACUUCUGUGAUAAUUCCACCAAAAGUCAUAUCCUGAAUCUAAUCAUCAAGAAACGUGACAAACCCAAACUGAGGGACAUUCUGCAAAAUUUAAGGAAAUAUAUGCUGAAAUAUUUAAGGAUAAUGGAGCAUCAUGGCUGAAAGACUCAAAGAGAAAAUGAUAAUCAAAUGUUCAUGUUUGAGGAAUCUGGUGAAGGGUAUAUGGAAAUUCUUUAUUCAGUUACUGCAAAAAAGUUCUGAAAUUAUG